GACGAACGCUGGCGGCGUGCUUAACACAUGCAAGUCGAACGGAAAGGCCCUGCUUUUGUGGGGUGCUCGAGUGGCGAACGGGUGAGUAACACGUGAGUAACCUGCCCUUGACUUUGGGAUAACUUCAGGAAACUGGGGCUAAUACCGGAUAGGAGCUCCUGCUGCAUGGUGAGGGUUGGAAAGUUUCGGCGGUUGGGGAUGGACUCGCGGCUUUUCAGCUUGUUGGUGGGGUAGUGGCUUACCAAGGCUUUGACGGGUAGCCGGCCUGAGAGGGUGACCGGCCACAUUGGGACUGAGAUACGGCCCAGACUCCUACGGGAGGCAGCAGUGGGGAAUAUUGCACAAUGGGCGGAAGCCUGAUGCAGCAACGCCGCGUGCGGGAUGACGGCCUUCGGGUUGUAAACCGCUUUCGCCUGUGACGAAGCGUGAGUGACGGUAAUGGGUAAAGAAGCACCGGCUAACUACGUG
rnacentral:rRNA from 1 species